UUGAGCUUUUCUCACUUAUCCUUUGCCCUUUUGGACGCAAUCGUACGCGGGCGGGUCCCCUCAGUCAACCGCAUUGGGCCUUUGUCCACUUUUGUUCGGAAACAAUAUCGUCCUUGCGCGGGCCACUUUCGCACGCUCGCAAUCCAUUGCUGCCGUGUGGGUGUGUUGUCCGUCGACCUAUACCAAACGCCAAGCAACGUCGAGUUGAGCCAGCCGAUUGCCGCUCAUCGAGCACGAGCACCGUCGAUCGAAGAAAGAUGAUUUAUUCUGACAUUGGCGGGCAACGCGGCAAAACGCCAGCGAACCGUAAACCGUGGCCUUCGGUGAGGCCGAAUGGUUAUGGGUGAACCAAUCGUACCGUGUCCAUGUAUUUUCUGCAACCUUGGUUACCGGAACCAGAACAUCAAGGAUAUCGUUAGGGCGAAGAAAAACUUGUCUCAUUCUUCCCAAAAAACUUUCACCCUCCUUCCAAAAGAUACGGUUUGUUUUGAUUGUGGUCCGGCUCCAACCUCCGGCUUCGUUGCCCUAUCCAUUAGACAAGUUUCCCCAUUCACAAAUCAAAACUUUGCACCCAUUUUCAGUAAGGCAGUCAACGGAAUGCGCGAAAAGCCUUCAGUGACGUGCACAAAUAACUUGCGAGCGGUGUUUCUAAACCCUUGAGGGACCAACCAAAAGACGAGAAAACCAAAACCGGGCUCUCUCGGAUUCCGAGUGAUAAAAUUCAAAUAAAAGUUUUACCCACAAAGAA